GGAUGGAGAACUCAGGAGGAAUCUGCAGAGACAGCAUAUCCGGAAAAAAAGGUUAUGUUUGUUUUAAUGGCUAGUUACAAAUGUAGCUGUCUAGAACAAAUUUAUUGAUGCAGCAAGGACAGAGACAGAAGAAUAGGGGAUCAGAAGCAGCCACACUAGCAGGUGGGAAUCAUGAACCAGUGGAACUGAAAAUCAAGUGAAGGGAGAGCAGGAGCUACUACAUCAGAUAAGAGCUGGAGAAAGAUGAGGUGCUGGAUGUCAGGAACACAGAUGGCCAGAACAGCCAGAAGAUACAAAAUAUGCCAAGUAUGCCAGCAGUACCAUCCCUGACCUCAAGAAACGUGAUUGAAAAAAUCCAGUUGAGAUCAUGCAUCAACCAAAUGAAGAUGUAUUGAAUCUGGUUUUUAUUUCAUA